AAAGACUUAAUUCCUGGGUUUUCGUGUCCUAUGUUUGACUGUUCGUCUUAUAUGAUUUUUUUAAUUAGUAUUUUCAUUGUUGUUAAAUGAUAAAACAUGAAUAAUACUUUAUGUGUGAUUUAUUUUUUUUAUUUUUUUUUCAUAAUUUUUUCAAAUAAGACGGACGGUCAAAUGUUGUACACGGAAACUCAGGAAUUGAGUUAUU
rfam:Oryza glumipatula chromosome 1, whole genome shotgun sequence.